rnacentral:rRNA from 1 species
UACAGAGGGUGCGAGCGUUAAUCGGAAUUACUGGGCGUAAAGCGUGCGCAGACGGUCACGUAAGUCGGGUGUGAAAGCCCCGGGCUCAACCUGGGAAUUGCAUUCGAGACUGCGUGGCUAGGGUGCGGAAGAGGGAAGCGGAAUUUCCGGUGUAGCGGUGAAAUGCGUAGAUAUCGGAGGGAACACCAGUGGCGAAAGCGGCUUCCUGGUCCAGCACGACGUCAGGCACGAAAGCGUGGGGAGCAAACAGG